rnacentral:Y_RNA from 1 species
GGCUGGUCUGAUGAUAGUGGGUUAUCAGAACUUAUUAACAUUAGUGUCACUAAAGUUGGUAUUCAACCCCCCACUGCUAAAUUUGACUGGCUUAAA